rnacentral:rRNA from 1 species
UACGGAGGAUGCAAGCGUUAUCCGGAAUGAUUGGGCGUAAAGCGUCCGCAGGUGGCUGUGUAAGUCUGCUGUCAAAGAGCAAAGCUCAACUUUGUAAAGGCAGUGGAAACUACACGGCUAGAGUAAGGUAGGGGUAGAGGGAAUUCCUGGUGUAGCGGUGAAAUGCGUAGAGAUCAGGAAGAACACCGGUGGCGAAAGCGCUCUGCUGGACCUUAACUGACACUGAGGGACGAAAGCUAGGGGAGCGAAUGGG